UGUCGGUUUCCUCGCAAUGCUAAGCAGCAAAUCCCGCCAGGACCGGAAGGUAGCAACGGUAGUUGUGAUGCGUGUGCCGAGGGUGAGCUGACGAGG
rnacentral:SRP_RNA from 1 species